AGCUUUAAAGAGCGAAGAGAGAAAGAGAGGAGAGCGCGCAAUUUGCCUGGAUUGCUGCGUGCCUAUUUGUUGUUGCCGUUGUGGAGUGCGGCCGUCUGGCGCUAUUAUUAGAGAGUUACCGUUGCUUUAUUAUUGCCUGCCUGCUUGCCUGCCUGCCUGCUACUAUUAUUGCCUGCCUAUAUGUGUGUAUGCCUGUGUAUGCAUGAGUGUGUGUGUGCUUUGCUAUUGUAUUGGUGUUGUAUUCGUGUUCUGUGCAUAUUUUGCGCGUUUUUUGUUUUCAGUUUUGUUAACGUCGUCGUCGUCGCCGCCUCGCAACGCUGCUGCCAAAGCAGAGAGUCCGCAGCAGAAAACAAAGCAAAGGCAAGAGCGCAAAAAGAAGAGUAAAGAAAAGACCAAAGCAAAUACGCCGCUAGCCGCAAUUUCGCAGCGCACAAAUCGCACGCCAUUUUGUAUUAUGCUUCAGAAAUAUUACGAAACAUUCUAGAGAGGGGCGUAUUGGAGCAACAACAACAGCGAUCAUAGCAAUAAUCGAUUAAUCGAUCGAUCAAUCAAUUAUCAGCACCAACAACAAGAA